rnacentral:rRNA from 1 species
GACUGAGGGGGCAAGCGUUGCUCGGAAUUACUGGGCGUAAAGGGCGCGUAGGCGGGAUGGCAAGUCGGUCGUGAAAUCCCUCGGCUCAACCGAGGAACGUCGAUCGAUACUGCUGUUCUUGAGGAUUGCAGAGGAGACUGGAAUUCCCGGUGUAGCGGUGAAAUGUGUAGAGAUCGGGAGGAACACCGGUGGCGAAGGCGGGUCUCUGGGCAAUUCCUGACGCUGAGGCGCGAAAGCGUGGGGAGCAAACGGG